AAAUAAGAAUUAAUAAUAAUUAAAUUUAAUUUCGACUUAAACCUAGGAUUAAUUAAUCCCUUAUUUU
rnacentral:tRNA from 1 species